AGCAUUAUACCGUGAACUGCGAAUGGCUCAUUAAAUCAGUUAUCGUUUAUUUGAUAGUACCUUACUACUUGGAUAACCGUGGUAAUUCUAGAGCUAAUACAUGCUAAAAACCCCAACUUCGGGAGGGGUGUAUUUAUUAGAUAAAAAACCAAUGCCCUUCGGGGCUCUCUGGUGAUUCAUGAUAACUUCUCAGAUCGCAUGGCCUUGCGCCGGCGACGGUUCAUUCAAAUUUCUGCCCUAUCAACUUUCGAUGGUAAGGUAUUGGCUUACCAUGGUUUCAACGGGUAACGGGGAAUUAGGGUUCGAUUCCGGAGAGGGAGCCUGAGAAACGGCUACCACAUCCAAGGAAGGCAGCAGGCGCGCAAAUUACCCAAUCCCGACACGGGGAGGUAGUGACAAUAAAUACUGAUACAGGGCUCUUUUGGGUCUUGUAAUUGGAAUGAGUACAAUUUAAACCUCUUAACGAGGAACAAUUGGAGGGCAAGUCUGGUGCCAGCAGCCGCGGUAAUUCCAGCUCCAAUAGCGUAUAUUAAAGUUGUUGCAGUUAAAAAGCUCGUAGUUGAACCUUUGGCCUGGCUGGCAGGUCCGCCUCACCGCGUGCACUUGUCUGGCCGGGCCUUUUCUUCUGGAGAACCGCAUGCCCUUCACUGGGUGUGUUGGGGACCAGGACUUUUACUUUGAAAAAAUUAGAGUGUUCAAAGCAGGCCUUUGCUCGAAUACGUUAGCAUGGAAUAAUAGAAUAGGACGUGCGGUCCUAUUUUGUUGGUUUCUAGGACCGCCGUAAUGAUUAAUAGGGACAGUCGGGGGCAUCAGUAUUCAAUUGUCAGAGGUGAAAUUCUUGGAUUUAUUGAAGACUAACUACUGCGAAAGCAUUUGCCAAGGAUGUUUCCUUAAUCAGUGAACGAAAGUUAGGGGAUCCAAGACGAUCAGAUACCGUCGUAGUCUUAACCAUAAACUAUGCCGACUAGGGAUCGGGCGGUGUUUCUUUUUUGACCCGCUCGGCACCUUACGAGAAAUCAAAGUGUU
rnacentral:rRNA from 1 species